rnacentral:rRNA from 1 species
CAACGCCGCGUGGGGGAUGAAUGCCUUCGGGUUGUAAACUCCUUUCAGCGGGAACGAAACUGACGGUACCCGCAGAAGAAGCCCCGGCCAACUACGUGC